AGACCCAUUCAUAUAAGUUAACCUGACAUAAUUAACCAAUUGUCAUAAUAUGGAGACCCAUUCAUAAGGAACUUAUAUUAUACUUAGAUAAUAUGGAGACCUUCAUAUAGGUUAUUCCAAGCACUUGAAUUGCAUCCCUUUUAUCUAAUGCAUUACAUUGUGGGCUUAUGAAUAAUUUAAUUAAGGGAAUGUCCAUUCGAGUAAAUGUUUAUUUCACUUUACUCUCAUCACCAAGGGAUGAAAUCAAACAAUUUCAUUUGAAACCACCAAAACCCUAGACCAAUGCAACAAAAAAAUCUGAAAAAACCACAAAUUAAAUUUUUUUUUUAUGUACCAAAACAACAAUCAUAGAGAGGGAGAGAAUGAAGAGAGAAAGAGGGAGAGAGUCACAAAGUGGAAAAAAAAAGGAUGUUAAUACUUAUCUAUUAAGAGGGCGAGGCAAAAAAUAUCUUUGCCUCUGCUUCUCUUCUUCUUCGUGAUGGAGAGAGAGAUAUACAGGUCUCUGUCUUUGGCGACAGGGAGAGGGAGUGAAAGAGGGGGAGAAGUAAAGUUAGAGAGAGAAACAGGGAAGGAAAUUUACAGAGAGGGAGCGAGAGCAAGUGUGAAGAUUGGGAGUUUUAGGGCUAAGGAUCGGUAAGCAUUGGAUCGCUAGCAAACUUGGCCAAAAAAAAAAAAAAUCUAGGUUCCCGUUUAGCGAUGUAUUUUCAUAUCAAAUUGUACGUAAAUUUUCCUACAUAAUAACAUUCUCUUAUCAAAGAACUUUAGAUAAACAUUAAUUGAAUUCAAACUUAGAGAGGGAUGACCAUCAACUUUUAGAUAAAUAUUAAUUGAACUCGAACUUAGAGUGGGAUGGCCAUCAACUCAAAACACAUGCCCUUUAUUAUAGUUAUUACCUAUGGGCUUUAUUUAUAAACAGUUCACAAACUACCUCAAUAACAAGUUACAUGAAUAACCCUUUAUUUAGAAGAAGUAUUCAUUUUCA
rnacentral:lncRNA from 1 species